ensembl:lncRNA
GCUCUUUGUGUAUAAGAGGGCUGGACUUACAGUAGUUUGUGACGCCUUAUAAGAUACCGUCUUCCCACGAAGAAUGAUGGGAGGACCCUGGAUCUGUAAGGUUUAAGGAGUGUAAGAAGACCUGUAUGGUAACGUCCUUCUGUGUAUCUGGAAGGAGGCGAGGACCAGCAGGCUGUGUGUGCGAGUGUGUGUGGGUAGAGAAUUCCUGUAUUUUGGGAAUGAUGUACAUGGCAUGUAAAUAGAUUAUUAUAUUGUUAGAAGGUCCUAUAGGGUAAACGGUGACAUUACAAUGACCACCGUUGGGGGAAAUAAUAACAAUACAAAACUACAAUGCAGAAUAUGGUUUAAUUGUCCAGAUUUAGAAGGGCCUCUCAUGAGACAGACACAGAAUAUUGGUUUUGACUGCGAUUGACAAAUCUAUUUCAGGUAAUUCAAUGGUGAUACUUGCUGAAAAAGAGACAUGUAGAUCCAUGUGAAGAAGGGUAAAAUAAGUAAAAUAGCCAGAUAGACACAGAUUUAGUGGUAGAUGUGUCAUUCUAUUGUCAGCAGAUAUUGUACAGGCUGGGGGCCAGUUAAAGGAUAGUGAGAGGAGUCAAAUAGAAGAGUCGACUAUUGGCUGCCAUCCCAGAAAGUAGGGAGUAGCGCUAAGCAUUCCAAUCCAGAACACAGACACACAGGCAAAGAGGAGUCCUGAGUCGUGCAGCACUGAUACACCAAGUCCAAUGAAGGGGUAUCUAACACCUGUGGCCCAGAUGAUUCCAGGGCCAAACCAAGCCCAGACCUGUGACAGACUGCCUUGGGGUCAGAAUAAGAAUAUGGGACACUGAUAGUUCCAGGUACACCACAGCCAAGGAGAGGGUGGAAGAAUGGAGAGAGGCACAUAGAACAAAGAGGCUCCUACAUCCAUGACUACACCAGCCAGGAGCCAUUUGACUGGACAUGGGGACAUCAGAGAUGAGAAGGGAGUUUACAUUCUUUACAUCUAUUCUGUGUUUGGUUCUCGGCAACGCUU